CCCACAUUUAGCACGGUCCUGGUCCAGAGGUGCUGAGUACCAUCUGUGUGGCCCAUGACACAGGAAAUGCAACUAAGUGGAUGGUGAGCAGCCAUGAACCUCGAGUUGGUCUGAACCUGCAGAGUCCUGGUUCCUUAUCAUCCUUAGGAGGCCAAGGAGGCUGGACUGCCUUCUGCUGAGGUGCAUGCCGGGAAUAUCCAUCUAAUGUAUGAGGGAAAGAGCCAAGUUAGAGUGAGCCGCAGGGAUUCCAGGACCAAGUCUCAGAGUGAGCUGCAUGGGCAACUGGAAGCCAGUCUCCGGCAUCAUGGCAGUCCCAAGGAGAGACUAAGUCCAGCUCGUGUGCCCGCUCAGGAGCAGCCAGCAGUAGACGAGACUCCCUUGUGACAUCCGUGUCCCACGGUUUUGUGUACAGGAUCCUGGUGGGAGCCUGAAGAAGCCACCGAACCACCGAGCUGAGAGGAGCUGGCACAGCCAGAAUGUAGCCCACAAUGCUUUGAUGGGGGUUCAGGUGGGGGGAAGGAGGGGUUACAAAUCCCUCCUCUCCAGAAAUAUCUCAGGUAAAGGUUAAGAGUCAAGGUUUCCAUCCAUUUGGCAAGAAGGGGAAACGCACACGGGCCAGAAACAGCUGUGUCUCAUCUGCCAGGGCAGCCCAGAGGCAGAAGCCGAGGCAGUUCUCAAACCUGCGAAAGCAAAACACAACUGUCUUCUAUGAGAGAAGAACCCUCGCUACCUCUACGACACUAGUGUGUUCUCUUACAAACACAGGAGCAUUUGUCUCUAAUGCUAGUUUUUAAUACUAUCACUUAUGUAUGAUAUGAAGUACUAUCACAGGAUAAAUAAUGAUUUAUAGCCGA